rfam:Facklamia ignava CCTG 37419 genomic scaffold supercont1.1, whole genome shotgun sequence.
UGUGGUGAUGGUUGCAAGAAGGACACACCUGUUCCCAUCCCGAACACAGCAGUUAAGCUUCUUAGCGCCGAUGGUAGUUGGACCUUGGGUCCUGUGAGAGUAGGUCGUCGCCACGC